GUACCAUGAUGUCCUCGGCUGUGGUUUUGAAUCUUCUGCUUCUGGUGUCCAUUGCUUCUGCAGGACACCAUUAUGGAGGCUCAGUGACCUUCAGCCCUAAAGGAACCAAUGCAGAUGGGAGCAUGAGGGUUGAGUUUCGACUCAAGCGAACCUAUGACUGGUGUGAUUAUAGUUGGUGGUACUGCUCCUCUGGAGAUUGUGGCUAUGAAUCCAGCAGUCACCAUGGUCAAAUCGAUAGCAGCUCUAACGGCAGAAGUGCUUACUACAACAACUGGUGCCAAGCGGAAACUGUUGUCACAAGAAACAUCCAUGGAAACACACCCUUUGACCUGCAGGACUCCUCAUGCUGCUGGGUGCCCACAGUCAACAACGUUGUUUGGUGGUUCCUCCAGGCACACGUAGAUCUAGGCAUAAGAGCUGAUACCAAUCAACCCAACCGAUCACCUGUCACCACUACUUUACAACUUCUACGGUAACUCUUACUUUA
rnacentral:lncRNA from 1 species